rnacentral:rRNA from 1 species
GACGAACGCUGGCGGCGUGCUUAACACAUGCAAGUCGAACGGAAAGGCCUCUUUCGGGGGGUACUCGAGUGGCGAACGGGUGAGUAACACGUGAGUAACCUGCCCUUGACUUUGGGAUAACUUCAGGAAACUGGGGCUAAUACCGGAUAGGAGCUCCUGCUGCAUGGUGGGGGUUGGAAAGUUUCGGCGGUUGGGGAUGGACUCGCGGCUUAUCAGCUUGUUGGUGGGGUAGUGGCUUACCAAGGCUUUGACGGGUAGCCGGCCUGAGAGGGUGACCGGCCACAUUGGGACUUAGAUACGGCCCAGACUCCUACGGGAGGCAGCAGUGGGGAAUAUUGCACAAUGGGUGGAAGCCUGAUGCAGCAACGCCGUGUGCGGGAUGACGGCCUUCGGGUUGUAAACCGCUUUCGCUCAUGACGAAGCUUUGUGUGACGGUAGUGGGUAAAGAAGCACCGGCUAACUACGUG